GAGCGGGAAGAGCUCAAAUUUAUAAUCUGGCACCUUCGGUGUCCGAGUUGUAAUCUCUAGAAGUGUUUUCCGCGUUGGACCGCACACAAGUCUGUUGGAAUACAGCGGCAUAGUGGUGAAACCCCCGUAUAUGGUGCGGACGCCCAGCGCUUUGUGAUACACUUUCAAUGAGUCGAGUUGUUUGGGAAUGCAGCUCAAAUUGGGUGGUAAAUUCCAUCUAAAGCUAAAUAUUGGCGAGAGACCGAUAGCGAACAAGUACCGUGAGGGAAAGAUGAAAAGCACUUUGGAAAGAGAGUUAACAGUACGUGAAAUUGUUGGAAGGGAAACGCUUGAAGUCAGACUUGCUUGCCGGAGCUUGCUUCGGUUUGCAGGCCAGCAUCAGUUUUCCGGGGUGGAUAAUGACGGUUUGAAGGUAGCAGUCUCGGCUGUGUUAUAGCUUUCCGUUGGAUACGCCCUGGGGGACUGAGGAACGCAGCGUGCUUUUUGCGAAAGACUCGUCUUUUUCACGCUUAGGAUGCUGGUGGAAUGGCUUUAAACGACCCGUCUUGA
rnacentral:rRNA from 1 species